rnacentral:rRNA from 1 species
UACGUAGGGUGCAAGCGUUAAUCGGAAUCACUGGGCGUAAAGCGCACGUAGGCGGCUUUCUAAGUCAGGGGUGAAAUCCUGGAGCUCAACUCCAGAACUGCCUUUGAUACUGGAGAGCUUGAGUCCGGAAGAGGUGAGUGGAACUCCGAGUGUAGAGGUGAAAUUCGUAGAUAUUCGGAAGAACACCAGUGGCGAAGGCGGCUCACUGGUCCGGUACUGACGCUGAGGUGCGAAAGCGUGGGGAGCAAACAGG